AUGAUUGAGCUACCGAAAUCAAUCAAUAAAUAUGAUCUAAUACUUUGUCCAAUAUAUAUGAGUUGCUUCUGAAUUCCUUGUAUUGCCUAUUAAUUGAAUUUAAAAUUUAACAAGGGGUGAAAUUGAAGAAGUUGAAGAGUCCAAGCAGAUAGAAAUUAUUUCCCUUCUUUUCAAAUUGGUAUCAAAUAACUAGUAGUCCUUUCUUAUUAUGAUUAUAGAGCCACUGCUUGUAGUCAUAGUGGGUAAGUUACAUGUUGGAAGGGAGAUUUAGAGGAUAGGUAUUUAGAUGUGGAGUUUUCUUUUUUGUGUGCAUAGGAUAAGUGAUGAAGACGGGAUUCGAAUCCAGGACCUUACGAUAAUCUGUCAAGGUCUUUACCAUUUUAGCUAAUUGACACCUUCAAAUCUGUUUGUUGUAAGAAUUGAACAAUUAGUUGUUAAUAUAAGUUAAACAUUAUCAUCUAAGCUAUAAAGUAUAUAAGAUGAUGUGGAUGGUUGACCAUAUAUUAGCAAAAGGAUUGUGGUGGUGUUUUUAACUGAUCUCCUCACUUGGUUUGGUUGGAGGAGCAGAGGCCACCUGCGCGAAAUUUUUGGAAUUAUACUGUAUUGCAUUAGUCAGAAUCAGCAAGGUGGGCUUAACAAAGUCCAUGAUAUGUGAGAAUCACUUAAAAAAUGGAGAGGCUCUCAAGGGAUCUUGUAUUGUAGUUUAGAUGUUCUUUGUUAUGCAUAUAGGAUAUCCCAAUGAAUGUGAACAUGCAUAAUGUUUUCUAAUCUGAACAGUGUCAUGAUUUUUUUACUAGAUGUAUGCUUUCUAUUGUUUGUUCAAAUUUAGCAAUUUUUGAUCAACCAUGCUUGGGCUAUUUCUUCUUUUAAUUCUUGUUUAUGGAUGAUAAUAUGUAACACCUGAAGUUUAGUCCCACAUUGGAAGUGGGUGAAAACUUUAACAUAGUUAUAAGGACUGAUGAGUGCAUUAUUAUUAAUUUAGGCUUAAAUAUUAUGGGCCAAUGGUCCAAACUUAAUAAGUUAUUUGGAUAGCAAUCUCAUUGGGUUGGGUCACAAUAAAUGAUAUCAUAAGUGCUUGGCUAGGUAAGGACAUCAAGUUAUUUGGAUAGUAACCUCAUUGGGUUGGGUCACAAUAAAUGAUAUCAUAAGGGCUUGGCUAGGAAAGGACAUCCUUGACGGCAUGACAUAAUCUCUCCUUAUGUAGGGGAGAUUAUAAUACUUGAAGUUUACUCCAAUAUAAGUAGGUGAAAACCUGAAUUUAGAUGAGUAUAGUAUAUUUAAUAAUAUGGCA
rnacentral:lncRNA from 1 species